rnacentral:rRNA from 1 species
AACGAACGCUGGCGGCAUGCCUAACACAUGCAAGUCGAACGGGAUCCUGGCUUCGGUCAGGUGAGAGUGGCGGACGGGUGAGCAACGCGUGGGAACCUGCCCAGUGGUGGGGGAUAACUGCGGGAAACUGCAGCUAAUACCGCAUGAGCCCGAGAGGGGAAAGAUUUAUCGCCACUGGAGGGGCCCGCGUUCGAUUAGGUAGUUGGUGAGGUAAUGGCUCACCAAGCCGACGAUCGAUAGCUGGUCUGAGAGGAUGAUCAGCCACACUGGGACUGAGAUACGGCCCAGACUCCUACGGGAGGCAGCAGUGGGGAAUAUUGGACAAUGGGGGCAACCCUGAUCCAGCAAUGCCGCGUGAGUGAUGAAGGCCUUCGGGUUGUAAAGCUCUUUUGCCAGGGACGAUGAUGACGGUACCUGGAGAAUAAGCCCCGGCUAACUUCGUGCCAGCCGCCGCGGUAAUAC